CAGAACACCUACAAGAAGCUGUUUUCUGGCUUGCAUGAUAGUAUGCACUGUUUUUUUUUCAUCCCCUUUCAAAGAGUGAAAACUUCCUUUUUCUGUAAAGUCUCAUUCUUGGAGUGAGGCUGUGUGUGACAGACUGAUACAAGUGGGUCCUCUGAGUUUUUAUUUGUUUCAGAAAUCCAGUUGUAGUCCCACAUGAGAUGGAGGCUCAGACAGUCACGUGGUUGGUUUUUCUGGCCCUAAUAAAACAUGUUUCUACAAGUAACCCUAUAAGUCCCUUUAAACUAGAUCCUGGUUGGCUGCCAGCUACUGAGGGAUCCUGCUUUGAAAUUAAAUGCCAAGUCACAAGAAAUGUUGAUGAUCCUGAUGCAAACUUGUUUUGGAUGAAAGAUAGACGAUGGGUCGACAGUGAAAAAGACUUUACAUCCACUGUCAUUUACAGCACAAACACCUGGACACAUCCGGUCAGUCCUGACUUUGCAAACAGAGUGAAAUACAUCGGUUCUUCAUCUUCAAGUUGGAGGAAUAGUAACUCUGCUGAGCCGAAGCCACUGUGCAGUAUUUUGAUCUGUGACCUGAGAAGAAGUGACAGCGGAAAGUAUUCUUUGAGAUUCGUAGGGAAGCCAAUCUGGUCAUCUGAAGAAGUGACCCUCAACGUUGAAGUAAAUCGAUGCCCGCUCACUUUUGAGGAACCAGCUGUCGUGGUGGAGUCCGACGUGGUCACACUCACAUGCUCCACUUCAAGUUCAUGUCCUUCAAACCCUCACAUUCAAGAUGUGACUCAGAUCGACCGGACACAGGCCACAGACUUUCAUCAAGAUAAGGAAAGAACCACCUUCAGCUUUAGAGCCAGCAGGGAGGAUGAUGGGAGGGUGUUUUCAUGCCAAACACAGAACAACAUGGACAAAUAUUUGAUCCAGAAUAUUACAGUCACUGUUAAAUACAGUCCCAAACAUGUGACAGUUCAAGCCAAUCCUGGUCUUGAUGUGAAGGAAAAUGUGUCGUUGACACUGAGCUGUACUGCCGAGUCCAACCCACCAGUGAGCUCUGUCACCUGGAGGAAGACGACUGAUGGGAGAGAGAGGAAAUCGUCCAACAGACUCGGACUCAGACCUUCAGGGUGAAUUCAGCCAGUCCCUCUGACAGUGGACUGUACAGCUGUGAAGCCAACAAUGACAUUGGAAGUGGAAAGUCACAGCCAGCUGAGGUUAAAGUCAGAUUUUCUCCAAAACACACAAACAUCAUGAAGUCGUCAGAGAAGCAGGAGCUUGACGGGAGGAGCUCCGUGAUGCUGAGCUGCAUCAGUCACAGCUUUCCCCCAGUCCAACACUACUCAUGGUACAGGAAGAGUCAGGGCGAGGAAAAGGAUGAACUUGUGUCCGAGCAUCAAAACCACACAGUGUACUCAAACCAGCCAGGAGUCUACUACUGCAUCGCAAAAAAUGAAGUAAACCAAAGUUUGUCUGAUCCCGUCCAUCUGUUUGAACGAAACUAUCUGGACAUCCUGAAGUUCCGCGUUCCUGCUGUACUUCUCCUGAUGAUUAUCAGUGUAAUUGUCGUAAAUUUAAGAUACUGGAGGAAAUCUAUUCAACAAGGAACAACAAACACCGAAUCUCCUCCUGGUUUUUCGAAUGAACCAGAGAGCCUGCAGGACUAUGAAAACAUUAGUAAUGCAACUGCACGUGCACCAACAUCUCCAAAUCUAUUUGACGACCACACCAGUGAAGGUGAAGUGGAGCUGAACUUUCCACAGGUGAGAUUCACAGCGACGCCCCGACGUCAGACGACCAACAGAGACUCCAGCAGCUCACAUGAAGAUGAGAGUUAAUACUCUGACGUCAGGAUUUGACCCGAGAUGUUCUCGUCCUGCUUUUUACAGCUACCUCGGGCCUGAGGAAGUUUAUAUUCACAAUAAGUCAUCACAGAGAGUCUGAAGAGUUCAUGUGUUAAG